rnacentral:lncRNA from 1 species
AAACUGAUGAGUUAUAUUUUGUUUGAUUCAAUAUGACCUUUCAUAAAUGUUUAAAACGUCAAACAGGAGAAGUAUCAUAAUUAGGUAAGUUUCUUAGGCAACAUUAAAAUGAUAUAUAUAUGCAUGCAUUAUUAUUGAAAUACAUAGUAGAUGUAUUGUUAUGUUUAAAUACCUUUCUUCAUAAUGUUACCCAGGAACCGGUAACAAGAAGCUCUCUUAGCCCUUAAGAUCAUCUUAAGACUAUCUUAGCGACUAAGAGUGUAACAAGAAGCAAUCGCAUAUCAAUCUUAAAAUGAUUGACAGCCCUUAAGACAUUUCAAUUUCUUCCGGAUUUAAGUGAUUUCUUUGCAACCCCUUAUCAUGAACUUAGCAAUUUUGGGUAACUUGAAAAUAUCUUAUUUUUUUUUUUGUCUUUUAGUAAGAACUCUUUGCAUCAACUUAAACAUUUACGAGCAUAACACGACUCGGACUGAACAUGUUUUAGUGUAAGUAGUUCUACCCACCACUCUACUACUCUUUGAAUGAAAAUGACCUUUUUUCAACAUAUGAUUAAUAAUUAACAGGCGAAGAAAUCAAGAUCACUUUACAAGACAUUUAUUCCAUGACCCUGAGAUCCUCAUGAUUUUGUGACGGAUUUACAAAUUACCAAGAACCGUCGAUAAGACAUAAGCGACCAUAGCUAGCAUAGAUGAUUUAUGGCUAUAUCCUUUAAUAUUCUACUAAGCCCUAUUUUUCCCAAAUAUUGUACAAAAGAGACCUUUUUAGACACUGAAAUAUUAAAUAAAUUAUUGUUAUGAUACAUAUUUCUAACAACUGUCUUAUAUAUAUACUGAUCCGCAAACUUCUCCCAAAAACUAUGAAAUAGUAUCAGAUUAUUGCAUGGCAUUUUUCAUAUCGCAUGUAUUAUCAGCCCUAGGUUCAAUAUCAGCCCAAAAGCCGCAUGGCUCGAGGGCUGAUAAUACAUGCGAUAUGAAAAAUGACAUGUUAUGAUCUUUUUAUCAUAUGCUUCAACAAUGGAUAAAAAUAACUGAUUCGUAUAUUGAUCUUUUACGUGGUUCUGUAAUAGAAGUUCGAAGAUUGAAAAGUUCACGGACGUCGGACCCCAAAUUUAAUACAUUCGAUAUGAAAUUUUUCUAUCAUUUGCUACAACAGAGAAGAAACACAUUUUAAUAUGGACGAAUUGACAAAAAACAACAAAAAUCAACAAUACACAUAAUGAAGAAUGUUUGGCAACUUUUUGAUGUUACUUUCUAAUUAGUUAUCAAAGGUACCAGGAUUAUAAUUUAGUACGCCAGACGCACGUUUCGUAUUCUAAAUUAUGUUUGAAACUUUUAAACAAUGCAUUUAUUUAAUAAAUUCUUUUUUGUGUUUUUGUGUUUUUUGUUUGUUUAUUAUUUCACGAAAUAUGAUUUCCAGCAUCCAAAUGAUUGUUUUGUACACUACUUUGUAAUGGUUUUCACUGAAAACGUAGCAUUGAGGUGUAUUUUCCGGAAUUUGCCGAGUAUCACCGGAAUGCCAUGCGAUAACGUUACGGAAAGGCAUGUGAUAACAAUCGAAGCAUGUAAUAAACUUUUCAUAUCAGCCCGCUAAGGACCAAUUCGAAAAAUAUGGAAUUUACGUUAAUUUAAUGGUAUUAUCAUAGUGUAAAAAUCAUAUGUUAUUUAGUCUAAGUAUAUGAUAAUAUCUUAUAUAAACUGAUCCUCCUGAAAUUUCCUCCAAAACUUAUACUAUCACUAACUAUUUUUCGAUCUAUCAGUACAGUUUAUUCCGUUAAUUAAAACGACGAACUGCAUUUUUUCGGAAUAAACGUUAUGAAUAUUCCGAUAUUUCUUAUACAAAUAACAGACUGUUUUAUAUAUACUGAUCCUAAAAUUUCCCCCAAAACUAUUAUAGAAUACUGUCUUAUAAUAUACUUAUCCUCAAAUUUGUUCCAAAAACUCCAAAAACACUUUCUAAUAUAUACCUAUUCUCAAAUUUUCAACAACAAAGAAUUUAAACACUGUUUUAUAAUACUGCCCCAAGACAGGUGCCCAUUAUUCAGUGGUUGUCGAUUGUUGCUGUUUAUCAUAUUUUUUCCCCCAUUUAUUGUUUUGUUCAUUAACCAGGCCGUAAGUUUUCUCGUUUGAAUUGUUUUUUUACAUUUUUCAAUUCGGGGCCUAUUAAAUAUUGCUGACUAUAUGGUAUGGGUUUUGCUUAUUGUUGAAGGUCGUACAGUGACAUAUAUUUAUUAAAUUCUACGUCACGUUGUCUCUGGUAGAAAGUUGUCUAAUUGACCUUCAUACCAAAUCUGUUUAUUUUUUCAAUGAUCCUAUAACUAUAAAACAUCGCCGUUUCGGGUUACGAAUAUGCAUUAAAUCGUUCUUUUCUUCAUAGAUAGGUAACCAAUGAAAAGGACCGAUAUCAUAAUAAACUGGUCAUGUCAAAUUUUCCAGUUGUGGUGACGGGGAUAUUUCCUCUUGUUUAAAAUCCAGUUGUCGUAGUCUUGAACUGAGCCAGUGUAUUCUUUUUCAUUUUAAAUAUUCCCAUAUUUUUAACUUAAUCAGGAUCAAUAUUUGUGAAGAAUAUGUAAAAACAAUCCUGUUACUUCAAAGCGCACGAAAGAUUUUUAUUUGGCAAUGACUAAACCAAAGAAAGAAAAGUUAUCGGACAGGACGGAAAGUUAGUAAGUGUACUUAAAAUAAGGCCGUCUUAAGGGUAUUCUUAAACGAUGUUGAGAGAAAGGAAAGGGCAAAGAAAUAAUGCUGCUAGUUACACUCUUAAAAGAUUCUUAGUGCACUCUUUAUGCUAUCUUAAACUAUGAGUUACGAGAACUUUAAGAGAUUUUCUUGUUACUGGCCUCUAGUCCUUUUUGUCUAAUUUAUAAACCUGGGGUGGAGUUCUCGAAGCUAUCUUAGGAUAAGGACGUGUCAUAAGACCAUCUUAUGACUAGUAUUUGUCGUAAGUCGUGUUCUUGAAGCGCUCCUAAUCACAUUGUUCGUCCUAACUUUAGGACACUCAAUUAGGUGUCCUAAGAGCAUCAUAUCUUCAUCCUAACUUUGUGAAUGUUUUUUUCUCAUUUUUUUUACGUGAAAAUGAACGUGAAAAGAAACGCACCAUCGGUUAUUAACUCGUAUAAUGAAAUUGUGCAUGAAUUUAAACUUUGAACUUCGUGUUUUUACGAUACGAUGAUACUAUGAAGAUCAAUAUUCUCAUGUCAAAACAAAUAGUUUUACACUUUAUAUCAAAAUCCUUUUUGAUAUUAUUUUAUAAUAACAUUCGACAUCAUGCAUUUAAUUAAAUACAUGUUAUUACAAAAUUUUAUAAACAAUUUUAUUUAUUGGUUUCGUCUCUAAUAAAUGUUUUAUCAAACAAUUACUUUCACUAUUUUGAAUUUCGCACAUAGGAUAUGUUUAGGACGUCCCAACAUAAGAUGCGUUUGAGAUAGCUUCGAGACACAAUUUAAGAGUGUCCUAAGUCGAUCCUAAGUCCAUCCUAAAAUCGGUCUUAUCUAUGACUUAGGACGGUUCUUAGGAUACUUUCGAGAAAUAACCCCUGGUUUAAUGGACUUUUUUUGUAAUUUAGGUAUCACAAGUACUCAAUCACGAAUUUUACAGAAGAAGUUUAAGUAAGUAUUAUAACUAUGUAUUGGCUUCCGAAGCUACACAAAACCCCUUACAAAUAGAGAUUUAUUUCGUCUUCAAGCCAUUUUUCACCUACUCAAUUGUCUAUUCUUCUUUCCAGCACACUUGGUACAAUUAAAAACCUGAUAAUAAAUUGUUCAAAUAAGGCCUUCGAAAAAAGUGGAAUAAAUUACUUUUGGAGUGUCAAGAACUCGUUGGAAGUACUUGAUAAAUUGCAUGCUUAUAUUGGUGAUUUUGAAUCUGUUCAAAGUGUUGAUUUUUCUACCCUGUAUACCACAUUGCCUCACAUUCUCAUUAAGAAAAAAUUCACACACCUAAUUAAAUGGGCAUUCAAAAAAUCAGAAUGUGAAUAUAUAUGUUCAAACUCUUUUAGGUCAUUUUUUAGUAGCAAUAAACAAGAAAAAUAUGUUAAUUGGACAUGCUUUGAUACUAUAUAUGCCCAUGAAUUUUUACUAGAUAACAUUUUUGUUCGCUUUGGGGAUUCCGUAUAUCGUCAGAUUAUCGGAAUUCAAAUGGGGACUAACUGUGCACCAUUUAUUGCGGACCUGUUUUUGUAUUGUUAUGAGUUACAAUGUAUGACAAAAAUAAGCAAAGACCCAUCGAAACAACAUCUGAUAAACAAAUUUAAUAAUACUUUUAGAUAUUUGAAUGAUAUUUUGGCUCUCAAUAAUGACGACUUCAGUAUGUAUAUUGAUGAAAUUUAUCCUGUUGAACUUACUUUAAAUAAAGCUAAUACUAACAAUGACCACUGCCCUUUUCUCGAUCUUGAUAUCUAUAUCACUAAUGGAAAGCUGAAUACUAAAAUUUAUGAUAAAAGGGAUGAUUUGUCAUUUCCUAUCGUUAAUUAUCCGUUUUUAGAUGGUGACGUUCCCUUGUCACCAUCUUACGGUGUUUAUAUAUCUCAACUUGUACGAUUCGCUCGUGUAUGUAACAAUGUUUUAGAUUUUAACGAGAGAAAUUUAUGUAUUACUGAAAAAUUAUUACACCAGGGUUUUCGGUAUCACAAACUAGUCAAAACAUUUACUAAAUUUUAUCAUCGGUAUAAAGACAUCAUUCGUAAAUAUAGCUCAACAUGCAGACUUCUAAUACGUUCAGGUAUUUCACAUCCAAUUUUUUAUGGAAAUAUUCUUUAUAAAGCACAAAGGUGUCAGUAUUCACCACAGAAACUUACAAAACCUUUGAAUAGACUUAUUAAGAAGGGAUAUAAUUACGAUACUGUUGUCAAGUCAUUAAAGAUUGCAUAUUUUGGCGUUAAUAUUGAGUCACUGAUAAGGUCUUUGAACUAAACACAUUUAUUCUAAAAACAGUUGUUGGCACGACACGGGUUAUGUUCUUCUCAUAUAUGUUAUGAUGGUAUGAUACUAAACCCCUAACAGGAAGGAUUGUGCCUGAUGUUCAUAUGAUGAAAUCAUAAUCUUUCAGUCAGUUAAAUUGAAGUCUGGAGCUGGCAUGUCAGUUAACUGCUAGUAGUCUGUUGUUAUUUAUGUAUUAUUGUCAUUUUGUUUAUUUUCUUUGGUUACAUCUUCUGACAUCAGACUCGGACUUCUCUUGAACUGAAUUUUAAUGUGCGUAUUGUUAUGCGUUUACUUUUCUACAUUGGUUAGAGGUUUAGAGGAGGGUUGAAAUCCCACUAACAUGUUUAACCCCGCCCCAUUUUUGCGCCUGUCCCAAGUCAGGAGCCUCUGGCCUUUGUUAGUCUUGUAUUAUUUUAAUUUUAGUUUCUUGUGUACAAUUUGGAAAUUAGUAUGGCGUUCAUUAUCACUGGACUAGUAUAUAUUUGUUUAGGGGCCAGCUGAAGGACGCCCCGGGUGCGGGAAUUUCUCGCUACAUUGAGACCGGUUGGUGACCCUCUGCUGUUGUUUUUAUAUUUGGUCGGGUUGUUGUCUCUUUGACACAUUCCCCAUUUCCAUUCUCAAUUUUAUUAGUCUUACUGUUGGGUUUAAUACAUUCUAAUGUAAUAUGUAAACUUCAUCGAGAUGCAUAAUAUUGCCUGUUAAAAAUUAGUAGAACACACCCGCGAAAUUGCGCGCAUUUACCGCUUGUAAACUGUUGUAAGAUGAAUUUUUGAGAAUUUCAGAAAUGGUAAAAUAAAAGCCCUCUCCCUUUUUACCAAAAUUCGAUAUUUGUUUCCUUUCUGUUAAUUUCUAUUAUUUUCCCGUUUCUGGCAUCAUACCACAAUUAUUCUUCCCCUUUGCUACAAUGCAUUUUUUGGUUAAAGUCCAAUUAAAUGAAAAAACAUUGCACCGCUUCAAACAUAAAAUAAAUGUAACUGACUAAGAUAAAUUUCUACCCUAAUUUCAUUUUGGCCAAGGCAAAUCAAUACUUUCACUUUUAACUAUACAAUUUUUCCACGUGUUUUACUUUUUUCAAUAUAUAUGCAACUGCUAUGACCCAUUAAAAAGUAAACAUGUCAAAGAUAACAAUAGACAGACAAACUUCUGAAGCAUGACCUCAUAUAAUAAUUGGGAACUAUAUUCCAAGACCAAGAACAAAUGGUGGUAUGAAAGCCUUCCGUAAAUAAAGUUUAUUUGCUAUUAACUACCGAUUUCGAGUUUGUUUCUUCUCCACGGUGAUCAAUGCUAUAAUUAUACAGAGUCUCUGCACAUAGUAGUAGUGUUAUCUUAGUAUACAUGUAGAUAAACUCGAAAAUAAUUGUCCUCUCUCUGAGUACUUAUGAAAAUCACGUACAAGUUUUAAACUGUCUACGAUAUAUGAUAAAUUUUGUAGUAACUGAUGUAUUUUAUUUUGGUAAUCUAUGAAGCUGAUACCAUACUGACACAAUCUUUUUGUUUUGUUUAAUCAACUUAUUUUUACCUUUCAUCUUUGAUAUAAUUUUUUCGUUCAUAUUUUAAUUCUUUAACUUUUUAAACAUAUGAUAGAAACAGCCCAUUGUCUCAUUAAAAGGAACCAAAACGGCUUUUAAAAUAUUUAAUUUUAACCUAGGUAGAAUUAUAAAUGAUGUAAAUAGCACUUACUGUUAAACUUUGUUUUUAAAUUCACAGUCUUACCUGUAUAUAAAGUUUUUUUUAAACUUAAGCACCCAACCACAAUGUACAAAUAUCUGUGUUAAUAUUUUAAACCCAUAUAUCCCAAGUUGGAGUGCUCCGUCUACAAUGCAGGAAAAUACCUAUACAGAACAGAACAAUCUUAUCUAUGACUUUAAGAGGAUCUGAUGACGGAAAUAAUCCGGACGCCUUUUUUCGUUUUUUCUAAAACAAACCUCAAUCUGAAUAAUCAUUAGAAUGGAUGACAAAUGCGACAAUGCAUGGUACCUAUAGGACACAGAUGCAUGAUGAUUAACUUAUUGUAUAAGGAAGCGAAACACUACACAUAAUGAGGUCUUCUCGUUUAAUAGUAUAGAUAUUCUAAUAUUUUGAUAUUAGUGUGCAAAAACGGAGAAUAUAAGGUACUAGUUGAUUAAUUGUCUAAAUAAAUAUGGAUAUCAUUUUUAACAAAUUUCUUAAAAGUAAUUUAUUAUUAACCAUCUUGAAAAAAUAACAUUUACAAGGUAUAGGCUUUGGGAUAGUUCCAAACUGCAGCUUGUUUUACAGAGUAUAUAUGAAAAACCCUAUUGUUAGUGAUAGAAAGAAAAUUAAGCAACAUGCUUUUAACCUUAAGAUGAUAGCUAAUCUAUACUAUUAAACGAGAAGACCUCAUUUUUGGUGUCGCUUCUCUUCUUUCCAGAAUAAUUAAUCAAACCCUCUGUGUUCCAUAGUACAGUGCAUAGUCGCAUUUUCUCCAGUCAUUGAUAUUAGAUUGAGUUAUUAGGAGAAAAACGAGAAAAAAGGCAUCCGGAUAUUGUGCCCGUCAUUGUACGAAAUUUUUAGUCAGAUUAACUUCCCGGUUUUGCGUUUUCUGGAUACUUUGAACAUAAUAUACUACGAUAAAGGUAUUUCAGAAUUUUAUCUGCUAUCAUUUUCAGGUUUACUAUCCACGGCGGUCACAUAGUUAUAAAUAGAGAGGGUCGUAAGUAUAUCCAUGGAUCGAUUAGUAAACUUAGAAUUGAAAGCCGUUAAAUACGCUUUAUUUAUAUAGUAAUGAAUGUCAGAUAAGCGCUAACAUUAUUCAUGUGAACUUUUGAUACUUUUUCUGAAAUUCUCCAGUCAUUAAAUCUUUUACAAAAUUCAUUGAUUACAUAAAAAAAGAAGAUGUGGAUGAUUGCCAUUAAGACAAUCCACAAGAGACCAAAUGACACAGGUUUUAACAACUAUAGUCACCGUCGCUUCAACAAAGAGCAAAGCCCAUGUUGGUAUACUUUGAACAUACAUAUACUACGAAUAAAGGAUUUUCAGUAGUUUAUCUCUAUCAUUUCAAGUUACAUCCACGGCGGUCACAUAGUUAUUAAAUAGAGAGGGUCUGUAUAGUAUAUCCCAUGGAUCGAUUAGUAAACUUAGAAUUGAAAGCCGUUAAAUACGCUUUAUUUAUAUAGUAAUGAAUGUCAGAUAAGCGCUAAAUUAUCAUGUGAACUUUUGAUACUUUUCUGAAUUCUCAUCAUUAAUCUUUUACAAAAAUCAUUGAUUAAUAAAAAAAACCCAAAGAUGUGGUAUGAUUGCCAUGUUAAGACAACUCUCCACAAGUGACCAAAAUGACACAGAUAUUAACAACUAUAGGUCACCGUACGGCCUUCAACAAAGAGUAAAGCCCAUACCGCAUACUCAGCUUCAAAAGGCCCGAAAUUACAAUGUAAAACAAUGCAAACGAGAAAACUAGCGGCCUUAUUAUGUACAAAAAAUGAACGAAAAAAUAUGUAACACAUAAACAAACGAAAACCACUGAUUACAGGCUCCUAACUUAAAAAAUGUUCAUAACAUACUAAAUGUAUGUUCAUUUGAAAUGAUAGAAAACCAAAAAUUGGAACUUUUAAAAGGUGAGUAAAAAAACAUUUUCCUGUCCCAAUAACUAUGACUUAUGAUACUUUUUCUGAUAUUUUUCCGGUCAUUCUGUAUUUUACAAAAUUCUUCAACAACACUUUACAUACUUUAAACUACACUCUAAAUGCCCGCGAUUUCGCGGGUGUGUUCUAGUUGUAUUUAAAGUUUGGAAAUAAAGCAAAAUUGGAUUCAUGCUUCCCAUGUCUUCCUCAAAGACUGAUUUAGAUUGAGUCCUAUUGAUUAUUGGGGUGUUGUUGAAGGUCAUGUACAUGAUGUUAUAAUAAUCCUGGUAUCUUUGAUUAUUUUAUGAUUAAUAAAAUCAUAAAGGGGAUUCCAAUAUUAAUGUGCGAAAUUUCCUAUCCACAAACUGACCUUGAAACCCAGAAAAACAAAUUAGUAUGUAACUGAUUGGUGUGACCGACAUUUACUAAGAUCUACCUUCGUACUACAUGACUGAUUAUAAUCGAAUAAUGUAAACACAAAUAUAUGAUAAAACAAAUUGUACGAGGACGAAAAGAUAAAGGACUGAUGGAUGUUUGUCAUCCAGUUCAAAGUUUAUAGAUAGUUAGAAAUCAAAAUUCAAUGUUCAAUAAAGACGAUACAGUUGAGUUCUGUCGUCUUUAUUACAUAUUGUUUUUGGAAGUCUCAUAAAAUACUUGUAAUUGUUUUAUAAUUGUAGAAAGAAUAAUAGUGCUUGAAGUGAUUAUGUUAAAAAUCUAGAAACAAUCGUUUACGAUUAAACUUGCAAAUGAAACAAGUCUAACAAUCAAGGACACGGACCUAUCAUUUCUUUUUACUUCUUACAAUCCGUUAUAUAGACUACAUAAAAAAAAGAUGUGGUAGGUAUGAUUGCCAAUAAGACAACUGUCCAUAAGAGAUCAAAAUGACACAUACAUUAACAACUAUGGGUCACCGCACGGCCUUCAACUCAUUUUUAAAUGCAUGCAUUUUCAAAACCGAGGAGCGAUCAUCCUUAACAUUGCCAAAACGCGCUCCGAGUUUUCUAUAUACAUUUUCUCGUUUAAAAAAACAGAUUUUUUUUCUAAUAACUAUAUGGAAUAUGUUGGAAUUUUCACAUGAACACAAACCUGUAAAACAAAAACACUUGACUAAUGUUACGACAUCGUGAAACUGCUUUAUUUGAGCUUUGUUUAUAAGUGUUGUGUAAAUGGUAGCGAGCGUAUGUCAGGGAAAUUACAAGCCUGCCAUCCUCGAUGUGUUAUCCUUUAUCUUUUUUUUUCUAAUAUCUUUAUUUUAUUGUUAAAAUUAUAUUGGGCACUGCAAUAUUUAAUAGCGGUGUCGAUGACCUUGAAACUAAGCAGAACAUAUGAAGUAUGCACAUAACACAUAAAAAAACGAUGAAUGCAUCAAUAAUGGACCUCCGGAUGUUAAAUGACACAACGUCAUAAUGAGAGACUGACCUACACAAAACUUGUCAGGCAUUUAUUGAAUAAUGCAAAUAAAGGUUUUACACUAGUAAUUUUGGGGCCGUUUAUAGCUUUUUGUUCGGUGUGAGCCAAGGCUCCGUGUUGAAGGCCGUACAUUGACCCUUAAUGGUUCACUUUUAUAAAUUGUUAUUUGGAUGGAGAGUUGUCUCAUUGACACUCACACCACAUCUUCCUAUAUCUAUAUUUGAUAGCUUAAACCUUGAACAGAUAUAAAUUUACAAACAUUUUAUACUGUGUUAGUGAAUUGUGUUUCAGAUGAAUAAAUGGGUUGACGAUCACCAAUCAGUCAAAUAUAGUGAUUGGUCUUGAACAUGUUGAAUUGAACAAAAAUAUCAUAACAGUGCAUAUCAUAAAGACGCAAUAAAAA